AUGCCCAGUGAUUAUCAAAAGACGCGUUAUUCUGAGGAAUAAACUUGCUACCAGUCUUUUCUUGUGACUUUUACUCUUUCUUUGAUCUCCAUCUUUCUAUCCUUCCUCCUCUCCUGCUCUCUCUCUCUUUCUCUUGCUCAAACUGGUAGCUCGUCCGCUGACUGCGAUUAUGAGAUAUGAGGGCAU